CCCCACCCGGAAGAUGCCUACCGGCGCAAUAGGCAACUUAAAAAUAAAAAAUAAAAAAAAAUAAAAAACCUAGGUCUUGACUCGGAAAAUUCAUAUAUGCUUCCUUGCUAAGGAGACUUUCUAUACAACAAAGUGAGGUCAUUCUUUGUAACAUGAGGUUAUUCUUUGUUGAUUUAUACCAAGUUGCUGGCUAUCAUAUGUUAAAAGACACCCCAAACCUAACAAAAUCACAAAGUUACCAUAUGUCUUGACUCAGAAAAAUCAUAUAUGCUUCCUUACUGACUGAGUGAGGUCAUUCUUUGUUAUUUUGUGCCAUAAUCUGUAACCUAUUGUUUGAAGAUGCCCUAAACUUAGCUUAAUGU